CAGAGGUAGGCCUGCUGCCAACACAGGGCCUGGGAACGUGGUGCCUCAUCUGGCCCAGCCGGGGCCCAGAACAGCACCCUUCCUGGGAGAUCAGGCUCCAGUGUUGACCCCUUGCCCUGGCUCAUCGGCUCCUCCCGGCUGUGCCGGGAUUCCUGGCUCUUGGUCCCCAUCCACCCCUCCUCCCUGGCAAGCCAGGCUGCAGGCCCCACCUUCUCCCCAGCUCCUUCCUUCCUCCUGUGGCCCAUGCUGUCUCCAGGAGAGCAGGGGGCUCAGGAAGGGAUUCUGCCCGUGGGCACUGCUGACCUGGGCAGGCAGGGGCAGGGUGGGCUGCACUUCCUCCCAUCUCAGGACCUGGCAGGGGUGGCACAGCCCAGCUGCAGGGACUCUGGCGGGAGUGAGCUGCCCUGCCCCCACUGUGCCUCUCAGGGCCUGUCCCCCUCCCACCUGAGCCCUCCACUGGGCGUCUCUUCUGAAUCCAGUCCAUGCCCACUGGCUGCCUGUGCCCCAGGUUGGGCUUUGCGCUGGAGCUGCACCCCAGGCUCUGCAAAGCCACCAUGGUGACAGUGUUUCCAGGGAAACCACAGCAGGCUGCCAGCUCCUGUGGAGCUCUUGUCUGA
rnacentral:lncRNA from 1 species